rnacentral:rRNA from 1 species
UUGAACGCUGGCGGCAUGCCUUACACAUGCAAGUCGAACGGUAGAGGGGCAACCCUUGAGAGUGGCGAACGGGUGAGUAAUAUAUCGGAACGUGCCCAGUCGUGGGGGAUAACGCAGCGAAAGCUGCGCUAAUACCGCAUACGAUCUAUGGAUGAAAGCGGGGGAUCGCAAAGACCUCGCGCGAUUGGAGCGGCCGAUAUCAGAUUAGGUAGUUGGUGGGGUAAAAGCCCACCAAGCCGACGA